rnacentral:rRNA from 1 species
ACACGUCUACAUUAGAUACCCCCUGUAGUCCCAGCCGUAAACUAUGCGCGUUAGGUGUAUCGGUGACCACGAGUCACCGAGGUGCCGAAGGGAAACCGUGAAACGUGCCGCCUGGGAAGUACGGUCGCAAGGCUGAAACUUAAAGGAAUUGGCGGGGAGCACAACAACGGGUGGAGCCUGCGGUUUAAUUGGACUCAACGCCGGACAACUCACCGGGGACGACAGCAAUAUGUAGGCCAGGCUGAAGACUCUGCAUGACUAGCUG